rnacentral:rRNA from 1 species
AUUGAACGCUGGCGGCAGGCUUAACACAUGCAAGUCGAGCGAGCGGCGGACGGGUGAGUAAUGUCUGGGCAACCGCCUGUUGGAGGGGGAUAACUACUGGAAACGGUAGCUAAUACCGCAUACCCUCAGAUGUGCCCAGAUGGGAUUAGCUUGUAGGUGGGGUAAUGGCUCACCUGGGCGACGAUCCCUCGCUGGUCUGAGAGGCUGACCAGCCACACUGGAAUUGAGACACGGUCCAGACUCCUACGGGAGGAAGCAGUGGGGAAUAUUGCACAAGGGGCGCAAGCCGGAUGCAGCCAUGCCGCUUGGUGGAAGAAGGCCUUCGGGUGGUAAAGCACGUUAAGCGAGGAGGCGUUACCCGCAGAAGAAGCACCGGCUAACUCCGUGCCAGCAGCCGCGGUAAUUC